GACCCAUGUUGAGGACAUUUGCGCAGGAGCUCCUUGAACCUAUCCCGUGUCUCAAAUAGAGAAUUUAAUUCCAUUUACACAAAAGAGGAUAUUUCAUUCCUUAGCUU